UACGUAGGGGGCAAGCGUUGUUCGGAAUGACUGGGCGUAAAGGGUUAGUAGGCGGUUUUUCAAGUUUGAAGUGUAAUCCCCGAGCUUAACUUGGGUGCUGCUUCCAAAACUGUAAAACUGGAGUGCAGGAGAGGUUAGCGGAAUUUCUAGUGUAGCGGUGGAAUGCGUAGAUAUUAGGAAGAACAUCAGAAGCGAAGGCGGCUAACUGGACUGUAACUGACGCUGAGUAACGAAAGCGUGGGGAUCAAAC
rnacentral:rRNA from 1 species